rnacentral:tRNA from 1 species
CUGGGUGUAGCUCAGCCUGGCAAGAGUCCUCGGUUCGGAUCCGAGUGGUCGCAGGUUCGAAUCCUGCCACCCAGACCA